UAAUGUUUAAAUCAAUUUAUAAAUAAUAAAAAAAUGUUAUCUAAUAAAUAUAAUUAUAAAUAUAAUCUAAUAGAAAUAAAUUUAAUAUUGCAUAAAAUGUAUUUUAUUAUUUUAUUGUUUACUUAUAUAAAUUUAUAAUAAUUAUAAUAGAUAGAUUGCACUUUGCAGUCUCCACCUUCCAGUGAUAAGAAAGUUGAUUACCUAGGUCCUAGGUAAUUGUUUUAUUUUUUUUUACCGUAUGCAAUGCAUGAGUUUUUAUUUUAUUAGUAUUUUUGUCCAUCCUAAAGAAAAAACUAAAAAUAUGAUAAAACUUUUAUAACUUUAUUUUUGAAUUCGUAUUAUGUUUAAUUGAGAUUGAUACAAGACAUUUAAAGACUAUUAAUUUCAAUUUCGUAGUGUGAAAAUUUAAAAAUUCUAAAUGUGUAAUGUAUAAGAGUUCUGGAACGAUAAAUUUAUCUGAUGGAUCUUAAUGAAACGUAAUAAUACAUUCAAAUCCAUUUUGAAUCGGUUUCUGGCUUGCCGAUUGCCUCCAAGCGUUUUAUCCAACGUGUCUGAAGUGUACGGUAUCGUCAGUAUGCUGAUAUAUUAGAAACGACAACUGGUUGCGUCGUCUCCAUUACAUUACAGUGUAAACACUACAAACAGCAUGUUAUUCGGGAAGCUGUUCGAGGCUGUUUAGUGUGUUUUUUGUUUAUUUUCUGUUUUAUAUCCAAGUUCGUACAGAUAUCAUUGUUGAAUAUCACUCACGUGCUCACAAGCGCCAUUCACUUGUUUGCCACUUAUCAGCCGUAAUUCAAAAUAAAACAUAAGUGAUAAACAAUAGGAAGAUAAUAUUAUAAUUUGAUAUGGAAUCAAGAACAACGUUGAUUGAUUCCACAAUAAGUUCCAAGUAUAAUUAUAUAAUAAACAGUUCUACAGUGUUAAUAAUUCCACUUACAAGAUGUGAUCAUCUAUUCAAUCGACCAUCUAAUAUAAUAGCUAAACAGGAAUUUAUUAACAAGACUGACGAUUAUAAUGAUAAUCAAUUAUUACAAAUUGGCUUCAGUUUGGGCCAUUUUCUGUGAGUGAACAAUUUGGUAAUUGAAAGUUGUCAAAGACAAACACUUAAAGCAAUUAUCGUAAGAACUAAGCAGUAAGAAGUGUUGUGUGUAGGUAAUAGUCGGGCAUCGUACAGAGGACCCUGCGAUAAC